rnacentral:lncRNA from 1 species
UGAUAUCGGAGCUUUGGUAUAAGAUCAGAUCCAGAAGAAGCUUCGCAGAUUCUUUUUGCGGCUCUCCCUUACGACAUCUCCAUUAGCUAUUCAAAAUCAUCGCCAACAACAAUAAACAAAACACAAGGAGAAAUCAAAAAUCAAUAAAAACUAUCAAAUUUGCAUUAAAUAUUAUUCAAAUUUCUAAAAAGAUUACAAAUCUAUAAACACUAUUAAUCAAAUUAUCUUUACCGUUUGUCGAUCGAGUGAAGCACGAUGAGCGUCCACGUGAAAACAAAAUAGAACAAUAAAUUUCAAAGAAAAAUUUGUUCUUAAUUUUGAUAUUAUUUUCGUUGAAGCGCAGAAAUUAUAUAUAUCCCUACAAAAUUUGAGCGGUAAUUUUGAAUGUAUUUCGUCAAAGAAAAGCAAAAAAUAGUAUAUAAAAGUUAUCUUACCGCUUAGAAGCAUCUGAAUCGGUGUCUGGGUGGUGUAGUUGGUUAUCACGCUAGUCUCACACGCUAGAGGUCCCCGGAUCAAACCCGG